rnacentral:rRNA from 1 species
AUUGAACGCUGGCGGCAUGCCUUACACAUGCAAGUCGAACGGCAGCACGGGUGCUUGCACCUGGUGGCGAGUGGCGAACGGGUGAGUAAUACAUCGGAACAUGUCCUGUAGUGGGGGAUAGCCCGGCGAAAGCCGGAUUAAUACCGCAUACGAUCUACGGAUGACAGCGGGGGACCUUCGGGCCUCGCGCUAUAGGGUUGGCCGAUGGCUGAUUAGCUAGUUGGUGGGGUAAAGGCCUACCAAGGCGACGAUCAGUAGCUGGUCUGAGGGGACGACCAGCCACACUGGGACUGAGACACGGCCCAGACUCCUACGGGAGGCAGCAGUGGGGAAUUUUGGACAAUGGGCGAAAGCCUGAUCCAGCAAUGCCGCGUGUGUGAAGAAGGCCUUCGGGUUGUAAAGCACUUUUGUCCGGAAAGAAAUCCUUGGCUCUAAUACAGUCGGGGGAUGACGGUACCGGAAGAAUAAGCACCGGCUAACUACGUG